ensembl:lncRNA
CCGCCUCUCUCGUGAAUGAAGUGCGGCGCGCAGUUUGGAGGAUCUUAGUUUGUUUGCAGUAUGAAGAUGGAUAGAUGCCAUUUCUACGAAACGCUACUAUCAGUGCAACCUGUGAUGAUUUAUCCUGUUCUUCAUUGAUGUAGCCACAGAUGAACUGUUUGAAGAAAGCUUGCGGUGCCUCAAGGGAGACCGAAUUCCCCAGAGAAGAUGCAUGGAUGUGCACCUAAAUGCCACUGGAGAGAUGAUCAACUACAGACACCCUCUGCAUCCCCGCCUCAUUAUACCUCCAUACUACGAGCCUCUUUAAUACCCAGCCUUCCUAAAGAGCAGCGUGCCGAGCUUCAUUUCCUCCUGUGAGACAGCCAUGCCCUGAGAAUAAGUGGAUGACACUCAGACAUUGUUUUCGUGUGCUGGUGAUGUGCUGGUAGAGCUGACCCUUAGUACAGCUUCCUACUCUGACAGCCAGGGGCCGUUAAGGGCCAUGUGGGCCCGGCUGCAGCUGCUCCACUCUCCUUGCCCACUCAGCAGGCACACUGUGCCCUUUGAGCCCACCUGCCAUUCAAUCCAGCACAGGUUAACACAAUCACACACACACACACACAGGUUUAUUGACUCGUGUGGCCCAGCGCACUUAGUUAUGCUUGGGUGAGUAUGCUGAAGCAGAAAUGAGUAUGUUUUAAAUAAGAGUCUUUUGAUAUGUGUCAUAAGACGUUUCGUAUUCGUCUGUUUAACAGGAUUGGAGCAGGUCCGUUGAUGUGUGCGAUAAUGCGGAUCGACGUGCUCGUGUGUGCCGCGUGUGUGCGUUCCUUCCCCACAGACGUUUGCUUGCCAUCUCUGUUUUUCUGUAUCUCCUCAUAGGUGAACAGAUGUAGGGCCAGCAGUGGAAAUCAGCAAGGAAACCCCACACUAUUCAAUGUGAUUUUAAUCAGCGGCUCUCCUCCUGACCCAUUUAUUUCUGCACUGAGCUGAUUGCGUUGGCUGCCGCAGACGAGCCCGACCCACGACACGCCAUAAUUACCCAUCACAUCAUAUAUGUCCUACAACCAUCAUAGAGCAACUCAUAAUCUCAAAAUUACUGUACUCUGGGCAAAGUGGAUCACUCUUUCAGUCAAAUCAAACUUUCAGGGUUGUUAUUGUCAGAUUUCCCAUCCCUGGCGUAUCAUCAGCUCGACUCGUUUUAUUCAGCCCUGGCUACCCAGCCGUCGUACUCUUUUAGUCAGUUGCGUCUGUAGUGGGAAUCAAUAUGCAGAUAUGCGUGGAAAAUUGUACCGGGCUGGCUGAUAAUGAGAUUUUACUGUGAAGACAAAGCCCCUGGGUGCAGUGAUUGGUAUCUGAGAGAGUCCACACUGUCCUCAGCGCUCGCUCCCUUGAGACCGUCACAGUGCUAACAUGUCUUCUGUUUUAGCUGCACGAAGCUAAAAGUGCAGCUUAAUGGAUUGAACACCGAACAACGAACCUUUUUGCAGGGUGUUCGGUACACAACAUUUUUGGGUCUGUAGGGCAAUUGAGAAAAAAAUAAAAUUAAAAAAAUAAAUUUUGUUAAUACCAUUAAUUAUAUAUUGUUAAGCAAAUAUUAACAAGGAACAUACAAGUAAUAAUUAUAUGGAAGCUGAAUAUUUAUUUGUAAAUCCU